ensembl:lncRNA
GGGUCCUGCUCCGGCUGUGCACCCCAACUAAUGUUUAUUGAGUGUCUGUUUUGAUAGCAUCUCUAAUUUUAAUCCGUAUACCAUCCUAUAAGGAGGCAUAUUGAGGCAUGUCUUGAGGGAAACAAGAUUCCUUUUGAGAUUCUGAGACCAAAACAGAAGUAAAAGAGAUCAUUCAGGUAAUUCCUAAAUCAUUUUGGGGGUAUUCCAUAGAAUAUUUGGGAUUUGUUUAACAAUGAUAUACAAAAUUUUCAUAGGUUGAAGGAAG